CUGCUGCCUCCCGUAGGAGUCUGGGCCGUGUCUCAGUCCCAAUGUGGCCGUUCAACCUCUCAGUCCGGCUACCAAUCGUCGCCUUGGUGGGCCUUUACCCCGCCAACUAGCUAAUUGGACGCGAGCCCAUCUCUCAGCGGAUUUCUCCUUUGGUCCAGACAGGAUGUCCCAUCCGGACGUUAUGCGGUAUUAGCGAUCGUUUCCAAUCGUUAUCCCCCUCUGAAAGGCAGGUUGCUCACGCGUUACUCACCCGUCCG
rnacentral:rRNA from 1 species